rfam:Myotis davidii contig56873, whole genome shotgun sequence.
AUGCUCGCUUCAGCAGCACACACACUAAAAUUGGAUGAUACAGAGAAGAUUAGCGUGGCCCCUGCACAAGAUGACAUGCAAAUUCAUAAAGUGUUCCAUAUUUUU